AAGACAAAUUGGCUAAUUGCAGAGGAACAUCUGAAUCUUCUCGAGAGGACGUGAUUAUAAUGGAAAACAAAAUUUAUAUCGAAAUUAUAAGAAAAGAGUAUGGUGGCCGAGUGGGAGGGCUAGGAUUGAUCCCAUCUGAAAGUUAUGUGUGUUAUAAUUCGGAAUCAACGGAAGAAGUACAGAAGUUAAGAGAGGAAGUGCAAGAGAAUAAAAAAAUGGUUUCCCAACUGCAGUCACAAUUAGUUGCCGUUAUGGAAUUUAUAAGACAAAAAAUGCCAGAUUGUAACCUUGGUGGUAGUCGUCAGGUAGGAAAAAUGACUUUAUCUAGAUAAUAAUAUCGAUUUUAUCACUAUGUUUUAAUUGUUAACUAUAUUCUUAUUUUAUUGAAAGAAAUUUUUGUUUUUGUUACAGGAUCCUGAGUCUUCGGGCACUUGCUAUAUGUCAGCAUCAUCAAAUCCUUCCAGUGAUACUUGAUCAUUU
rnacentral:lncRNA from 1 species